rnacentral:rRNA from 1 species
UACGAAGGGGGCUAGCGUUGUUCGGAAUUACUGGGCGUAAAGCGUGCGCAGGCGGUUUUGUAAGUCUGACGUGAAAGCCCCGGGCUCAACCUGGGAAUUGCGUUGGAGACUGCAAGGCUUGAAUCUGGCAGAGGGGGGUAGAAUUCCACGUGUAGCAGUGAAAUGCGUAGAGAUGUGGAGGAACACCGAUGGCGAAGGCAGCUCCCUGGGUCAAGAUUGACGCUCAUGCACGAAAGCGUGGGGAGCAAACAGG